rnacentral:tRNA from 1 species
AUUCUUUUAGUAUAUAAGUAUAAUCAACUUCCAAUUGAUAGGACCUUUUAGGAAAGAAUA